AUGUAUUUGUGUAUAAUGUGUAUACUUAAUAAAACGUAAUUCAACAAAUUUAUGCAAAAGGUAUUGCAAAAUUUCAACCGAUUUCAACACAGCACGCGUGAAUCAAAAACCGAAGGAAGCACAUGCGAAGCAACGUCACGUCAUUCCAACUUGACGGACUAAAAGAAGACUCAUGUGGCCGUACAUGUGACAGCAAAAAGUUCUCUGUCGUGUUUUCCAGGAUCUGGCUUAAUUAAGCGCCAUUGAUGGAUUAAGUGCACGCAGACUUAAGAGGUAAUACACCUGCCGUUGCAUUUUGCUCGGCACAAGUUGAAUUAGCUCUAGGGACUUUUGGUAACAGAUGUAAACACCUAAGUCGACUCUAGGGGCAACUACUGCUAGUUGACUGCACAUCAAGUGUCAACGCGAACUACAGCGACGAACGAAAGACCCAUCAGCGCACAUUUGUGUCCACUGCUGCCAUCACUGGGGCAAGCUUCUGCAAUCCAAGUCUCGUUUCCUGCUGACCGCAUUAUGUAGGAGGUUUUAUGUUGAGCCGACCAGACAGUGUACCAAAGGCGUACACGAAAUGGCAAUUGAUGUGAAUCAGUGGCCUCCCGAAGCUCCGCUGGGGGGAGGGGGGGGGAGCACAAAUUUGCCUAGUAGAACUCGCACCUCCUGCAGAACUCGCAGGUGACUAUGAAUAAAACAAAUUUGGGUGGAGUCACAUGAAUUGGGUGGUCAGCGGUGGCGUAGAGGUAGAACACCCGCCUCGCGUGCAAGAGGUCCGUGGUUCGAAUCCCGGUGCCGGCAAUUUUCCACCGGAUUAAAAAAAAAAAAGAAAUCCGCGUGUUGAUAAAAUUGCACAAACAGGCCUGGAGUGUGGCCUGAUCCCGGUGACCAGAACCGGUAACGCACUCCCUCACCAGAGCAGGAUUGGCCACCCUGGUGCAGUACUUGGCCACAACCUCCUAUGAACACAACAAUAAAACCCCGGCCCUCAGUCCCCAGCAGCUGCAAAGCAACUGACCAAGGCGGCGGUCAGACCUGCGACGCAGCAGAGGGUGCUAAGAAUCACUGGCUCCGGACAGGCCGCCAUUGGAAUAUGAACCUGGCAACGUUUAACGCUACAACGUUAUCUAGUGAGGCGAGUCUAGCAGUUCUAUUGGAGGAAUUAGAGGGCAGUAAAUGG